rnacentral:rRNA from 1 species
UACCUGCAGCUCAAGUGGUGGCCGCUAUUAUUGGGCCUAAAACGUUCGUAGCCGGUUUGGUAAAUGCCUGGGUAAAUCGUGUAGCUUAACUAUACGAAUUCCGGGUAGACUGCCAAACUUGAGACCGGGAGAAGCUAGAGGUACUCCUGGGGUAGAGGUGAAAUUCUGUAAUCCUAGGGGGACCACCAGUGGCGAAGGCGUCUAGCUAGAACGGGUUUGACGGUGAGGAACGAAGCCCUGGGGCGCAAACCGGAUUAGAUACCCGGGUAGUCCAGGGUGUAAACGCUGCUUGCUUGAUGUUAGUUGGGCUCCGAGCCCAAUUAGUGUCGGAGAGAAGUUGUUAAGCAAGCUGCCUGGGAAGUACGAUCGCAAGAUUGAAACUUAAAGGAAUUGGCGGGGAGCACAGCAACGGGUGGAGCGUGCGGUUU